AUUUGAGACUCCUCUAAUGAAAAAGUUAAUGAAAAGUAUUGGUGAACAAACAUUUCAGCUUUUAAUAGAAAACAAUCAAUUACUUCUUAGAGAGGAUGCAUCGAGACUCCUGUAUAUCCCUUUCACCAAAGUUCUCCAGACCAAAAGUGGCAGGUCCACAAGUGGAAAAAAAAAACAAGGAGAAGUAAUUUCCAUCCAUAUAUGAUGCUUUUGUAGAUACAUGGAAGCAGAACGGGACAUGUGAGCUCAGUGUAUUACUCAGCAUGGCUGUCAUGUAUAAAAUAAGAAUAACAGAAACAAUCAAUUGAAAACAAUAAUGAAGGACAGGGCUGGCAAAUCUCAGAAACAACAAGGACAAUGGUUCUGUGAGCAACAAGAAAACUGAAGACUAGGACCUUCUGAACUACUGACUAUUUUGGGUGUCUGGAGAAGACUUCAUUCAAAGGAUUGAGCCUGUAUUCUUCAAACUUGCAAAUGUUCCCAACAAGCCUAAAAACAAGUGUAAGGAUUUGGGGACCACAUAUACAUACAAAUGAAUUAGAAGCAAUUCAAAUGCAUCAUUUCCUCCUGCAGUUCAAGAAAAAGUCUCCUUGACCGAAAAUAUACAGUACCUGUGUUGAAACUGACUGCAUUAGUCUGAUGACAAAACAGAAAAACAAACAAGGCCCUUGCUCUCCAUUCAAUGGGAUUCUCUCUCUUUUUCAAAGCACUUCUGUAAUGGAGUCAGAGACCUUGCUGUUUGAGGACAAACGUUCCAGACUGGCAAUUCAAUAAUGGUUGAUGGAGUACUGUAAUUUAAAAACCAGUAAUGUAGUCUUUACCUAAUUAAUAGUACUGUUUUGCAAGCAUGCAGACAAAAGUUGAUGAAAAAUCACCCCUGCUAAAAUUAUUGCAGUAUUCUCAACUGAACAUUCCACAGACCUUCCAAAUAACCUGGCUUUAUGCAGUCCUUUUUCAUGCUGAGGAACAAGAUUUCCUAUCAUGAUUACUUUCAUGAAACAUGGGAACACAGAGUAGCAUAUGUGAUCAAAUUACACGAAGGCUAGUGAAUCAGGCUCCUCUUCU